ensembl:lncRNA
CUCCAACUACCCUGCUGCAGGCUGGGUGCUCCCCACCAGCUCAGGCUGCCUGGAGCCCUAUUCGUGACCUUGGGCACCUCCAGGGAUGGAGCACCCCCACUCUCUGGGCAGCAGAUGUAAGAAUUCUCAGAGGUGCAGUGGGAUUUCUGUCUUUGCAUGCUGGUAGGUGCCAGCCUGUGAGAGGCCCAGGGCUGAAGGAUGUAGAAGCAGUGCCCACCAGUCCCUGCUCUCUCCACCAAAUGUGGGGCAGGUGUAGGACCCCAAAGAAGCUAUCCUUUAGUAGCAGCCCAAAUGUUGCUGAUUUGUGGAAAUGAGCCUGGGCUGCCAACCUUGCUCUUCUAGGAGCCCUGAAAGACUUUGAAUAUUAAAAAAUAAAGGUUGUACUUGAUAAAAGGCAAAUGUUUAGUUUGACACAUCUCAUUAUUCUAAGGAAUUUGCAGGAAAAGACAAACUUUGUUAGCCUGCCACUAAGUGCUAACAGUUUCUGGAAGUCAAUAAAGUGACCUGCUUGCCUUGGAAGGAAACAGUUAGCACAGACUUCCAAUUUCCCAGCUAAGUUAUGAAGACGGGAUGCAGGAAGACGGAAGCCAAGAUGUCAGUGCAGAAGACACAGAGCCUUCCCCAGACUAGGAUGGCUAGAGUUGAAAGAACAUCAUGCCCUGACAGCAGCUGCCAAAAUCAAACCCUUUUUCAAUGUUUUUUUGAUGUGAAUCACAGGAGGUUUCACUACUGGGAUUUGCAUCCAAACAGGAAACCUGCAGAUUUCUUCAAAUCCUGGCGACAAAGAGAUAGCUGCCAUGAAUUGCCUUCUGGUAGUGCCCGUUCCUCUCAGUUGAUUACAAGAGGAUCCCCAAAUGCUAGAUCAGUCUUUGGCCGGCAUCUUUCAUAAAGUGCUGAAAUUUGCCCUUGAGGCAUCAGAUGGAGUAGUCAGAUUGUCAAAUAAGUCUCCUAAUUGAAGCGAACGCUGGCACAAUAUUUGUCUUUUGAAAACAAACAUCGCCAGCAAAGUUGCAGGUCCACCACGGAGCCGCGCGGAGCCGGGUGUGCGCAAUGGGAGGAAGGCUGUGCGAGCAGAUUGUUGCAGGGAAACACCAAACCUGUGAAAAUCCACUGAACCAAAGCAAAAACAGUAAGAGCUCAUUAUUGCUUUAAAGUUUCAUGCGAGCAGGUGCAAGAAGUAAAUAAAUAUCCUCUUUUGGUGAUUUAUUUGCAUUUUUAUAUCUUAAAGGGUCAGAAGAAAUCAAUAGUUCUCCUUGCACUCUGUGAAAUUAAUCAGUAACUUUGGAGACACUCUGUGUUUAAGAAAACAAACUGAACAAACAGCACAUGGCCUUUAAAGAUGUCCUCCGGUGGUGUUCCUGGUGGAUUUGGGACAAUAAAAGGCUGAGUAUUUCCCAGUACAGCACCUACAAGAAAACCUAAGCGAGAGCACAGGACAAAGCCCUGUCUGGCGGUGCCCACCCCAGGUGACUCAGGAAGCAAGUGUUAUUGCAGCCAUAAGAAACCUGAUAGCGCUGUGCCUAUCAGCCAUCUGCAGGGGAAAAGGUCAGGGGCAUGGAUGUUGCCACUCACCUGGAGCACUUCUGUACCACUCCUCCAGCAGCUGCCGGUGGCACUGCUCAAAAUCACGGCUCUGAGCAAUGCCAAUAGGAGCAGGGUGUGUGCUUCAGGGUGGCCUGGGACUUCUGUAAGCAGCAACUCAAGCAAAUCUAGGUGGAGUGCAAGCAGGACAACUUCAUUUAAAAUGGCUGUGUGUGAUGACUUCAGUCCCAUAGCAUGCAGUCUCUAAUCGGCGUAGCAGUUCUUGGUGCAUCACCAGCUCCAUGUUGCAUUCCAUGUUGGUUUCAGCCCUGCCCAAUGCAGGGCAGCUCGGGCUGCUCAGAGCCCCAUCCAACCUGGCCUGGAGCGUCUGCAGGGAUGGAGCACCACAGCUUCUAUGUGCAUCUGUACCACUGCCUCACUGCCCUCUGAGUAAAGAAUUUACUCUUAACACCUAACUUAAAUCUCCCUUCUUUUAGUUUAAAGCCAUUCCCCCUCAUCCUAUCAAAUGAACCUAGUCUGGGAAUUUCCAUGCUAAAGCGCUACCACUCCAGUGGGGCUCCCCCUGAUAAAACAAACCCACUGGCUUUGGAACAAGCAGAGUAAGACUUUUGCAUCAAUGUAAUACAUAACAUGAAUUACUUGAUGGGAAGUGAAGACACUGAUAGUAUGGGAGCAAUAAAGAGCUGAUCCUACUUCCAUUAACUUUAUUGGGAGCAGACCCAAAAUCUUUAAGUGGAGAUUGGCAUAUCACAUCUAUCUAAUCUAAAGUAUCUCAGGAUUUAUAGUGUGGUAUCAGGACUGAGACAGACAGAUGAAAUAUUACUCCUGCUACAUUUAAUUUAUAAUCUUCAUCUCACUAUCAUUGCACCUACCUACUUAUAUAGUCUCCAUUACUAAAGUAGCUGAGAGACUGCCAAGUAUUUAGACAUAUAAAUAAAAUAGCAGAGAUUGUUUUGUUCUCUGUCUCCCUUUUUCUCUUGCUGUUUAUAAGAUGUCCCCUAAGGUUUGUGUUUGCUUUGUUUAUGGUUCUUAGUGUAAGUGAAUGGAACUGGAAAUCUGAAGGGUUUGUUUUUAAUAAAGUUUAUGGGAAAAUCAGAUACAUAGCAAAAGAAAUGCAUAUUUAUUUCUGUAUAUAUUGGGAUCAGUGGCUAUCAGGGAGAACAGAAGUGAAUGUGAAUUAUGGAGUUUAGAUCCAGGAGCUUUCAGAAUUUCAUUGCAUAAGCUCACAAACUUCCCCUGUUGAUUCACAGUCCAGACUGUACCUGUCAAAUGUCAUGGGCGGUCAUGUUGGUGGAAGGAGAUGUGAUAUCUCAGGAAGCAAAGUGCAAUACCCUGAAGGGCUUUGACUAUCAAGACACUGGGCAAGCCAAAGGAAUUUGUGCUGCUGAGUAAAUGGGAUGCUGUGUUUGGAAGUUUUCAGAGCUUUCAUAGGGCAUGUGGCUCUGUUCCUAUGUGUGAUAAGCAACCAUGGUGAAACUUCAAAGUCAAACAAUGCCUGAGUGUCCUGUCUGUGUCUUACAGGGAUAGUUGUGGACUUUUGGCUGGUCAAUCACAGAUAGAGAGGAUUACCAGGGAUUUAAGAAAGGUGUGCUUCCCCUCUCCAUAAAGGCAUCACUCCACCCCGGAGGGGCCACGCUGCAGCUCCCUGCUCCUCUUAGAGCUGCUCACAGUGAACACAGUGGUGGCUGGUGCUGGAACGAGAUGCGGGACCAAAGUCACCGUAGAAGCACCAACUCUCUGGUUUGGUUACUCAGCCUGGCUCUUGCCACCAUUGGUGCUUGUCACGCACCAGGGUCUGCACGUUGGGAGAGUUUGAGGCUGGUCUAACAGGAAGAACAUCAGACAUUUGAGGAUGUGUCCUUAAGAACUGGACAAUCCUAUGUUUUCUCUUUUCUAUUUCUGACUGCUGCUGAGCUCAUGAAUACCCACCAAUGGAUAAACAGAGAGCCCUGGACCUUUUUCAUAAUUGUUUCUGGAUAUAUCCUUCCUUCAUCUUAUUCUGAACAAAACUUCUUGAAUAGCUCAUUUAAGGAGAAAACACUCGAAAAGUAUAUUAGCAAACUCUUUCAGUGGGGUAAAACCAUCAACAUGGAAAAUUCAACUUUUCAAGAGAGCCAUUAAGUGUGAUUAAACCUUUAAAAAGGGAGAACAAUGAAUGCAGCCUUGUAUUUAGCAAUUUCAUAUCUUUAAUUGUACAAAGAUUUUCUUUAAAAGCACAAGCCUGAAAGGAAGCUGAAUGUUACAGUAUUUACUGAAGGAAAGCAAUGAGAGAAGAGAAGGCCUGUUCACUAGCUAAUGGAGUGAAGCCCAGAAAUAAUGACAAAAAAAGCGAUAACGACCGCUCUCCAACACAACAUAUAUAAAAGAGGGAGCCAUAAAAAGGCAACAAUUCUUGACUUAGCUUUGAGUUUCACAAUGACUGUGAUUACAGAUAGCAAGUGGAAGAGCAUAUAUGCCAUGAUGAAAUCUCAUUGGCUUUGCAAUUGAGAUUCAAGCGAGGAAAGAAAAAAAGCAGGGACAUUGAAUUUCUGCAGAACAAAUUUUGGAUGGGGUAUGAGAAAUGGAAAGAAAGGGAGAAAGAACAAGGUCAUCAAAAAGUUCAGCAGAAAAUGAAUAUAUUCUCAUCCAUUCCAUCUAAUAAUAAACACACUAGGGGCCAGAUCCUCAGAUGAACCGAAUGCCAGUGAUGGAGCUAGCUGGUAGUUCCUGCAUAUGUGAAGAUCAAAUAUGUACAUGCAUCCUGGUGUACUUUAGCCUGUGCCAUCUUGCAGCAUCUUUCAUGCACACAGAAACCUUUGACUAAUGGGAACUAGAUUAUACCAAAGAAAUAAAAAACUAAACUCAUUAACUCAUACAAUAAUUAUAUUUAUGAUACAUUUCAUGCUAGCUUAACUGUAAGUGCUACUUUAAAGAGAAAAUAUUUUGACACAUUUUAAUGACACAUUAAUUGCCAGCUUUAUUUUUCUCGAUCAGUUUUUUAAAAGGCAGUGUUAGCAUCUUAUCUUCCAUCACACAUGUACGUGUCUGACUUCAUAUAUGUAAUACUGAGAUUAUAUAUGCUUGUACUUUUUCAUGACAAGGCUAUGUUAUCUCAGUUGAAGUCUUAUGCUCUUUGGAUUUUAACGGGCAUCUUUUAAAGCCUUCCAGUAGAUUUCCAAAAUACCUUAGAAGUGCAACUUCUAUUCAGUCAUUGUCUAGAAAACUAUAAGAGUGAGGUUUCUUAUACUUCUUCUAGAAAAAUUAGCUUUAAAGGUGCAGAGUGCAGAAGCUACGUAAAAAGAAUCCCCAAAGCAUUGAAACUACACUCUGACAGAUGGCAGAAGGUGCUGGUGGUCCCAGGCAGAGAGAAUGUAAUGUGACACACUGCAAAACAGCAACCUAGCAGGGAGAAUGAUGACUGAGGCUUGAUUCUCUCAAGGAGAAAGGCUGAGCAGAAUCACAUUAGAUCUCUGAGGAGUUUGCCUAAACAAUUUUAUUACAGUUACUCAGAGUAAUACCAGCUGUGAGCUUGUUAUUUAACAUCAUGGUAACUUGCAUGAGCAAUGAAAUAAAAAUGAAUUGGAGAGGAAUGUAGAAGUAAUGUAAAGGUGGCAGCAUGCCUGUAGGCAUAAGAACGAUGAAGAUGGAUACCAUUUUGAAGACUGAAAAAGCUAGUGCGACUGCGAGACAAGCAUAUGAGAAACCUGAAUGUCUGACACCUACCAUGGAGCCAGUGGCUUGCCGAUGACAGCCAUAUGGGAUAUGUCCGAUAAAGGUGAUCAGUGUAAAGAAUCAAACAAAAAUGCCAUUUCAGAACAGCCAGAACUAUCUGCAAAUGCAGUUCUCAUUCAGUGAAUAGCUUCAACUAGAAAAAAGAAAACACUUGAAAAAGACAGACACGAUUCCUUUGUCAUUUCUCAUAUUGAAUCUGAGCAGGGAAUUGUGAGCCUGAUAGCUUGCUGGUAGUGGCCUAACGCUCUGCAAAACUUUGCCUCAUUUGUAUCCUUAGAGCAUUGGGCCUACAAUAAUGGUAUUAAUUCUCUUUGCACUAGUAAAGAGAUGGUACGUGUUUCCUCUUUAGACCAGCAUGUGUAUCCUGGGAUUUCCCAUCCCUUGCUGACUCAGUGUAUAUUUAAUUAUACAAUGCAAAAUAAACCUGCUUGAAGGAGAUGAAAGAGCUCUACCUCUUGCAAGAGAGCCCUAGACCUGAAACAGCGUUAGCCACAGUCCCACUCUCAGCACAGAUAUGGACUAGAGAUUUUUAGAGCCCUCUCCAACACCUUUUCUGUGCCUUUGUGAUGACAUGCUCAGUUAGGUGGGUGUUAGGCACCGCUGUUUGGUGGUUGGCACCUACCUUCCUAGAGAAGGUAAGCCUAUGCUUUAGCAUUUCUUUUCCUGUGUAGCAAUUAAAAAGAGAUGGUCCCAGAAGGAUUGUCUUAAUUUUUAAGCAUAGUAAAUGCACAACAAAUGCUGAGGCCAGGCAGCCCUGAUCUUGAAUUAGAGAAGGUGCCUGAGAUCUGAGGCUUCUUGCUUUGAGGAGUAUCUCUGCCGCCAUCAUAUUGAGUAGAUGAGCAUAGUGUUCCGAAGAGUCCUACAGGAGAGGGUCUCUAGGUCUGGCUCUUAAUUUUGGACCAUUUGUGUUUCUAAUUAUAAAGAUGACUCAAGCUGGGAUUAUGAGUCUCUGGUAGCUCUGAAAAUAAUAUCCAAAGCUGAGCCACAGUUAUCAUUAGAGGCACUGAAAAUAGUUGCAAAACAAUGUACUGAUAUUUCCUGUAGUCACACCAGCUCUGGAAAAUGUUGACAGGAGGCACCAUCACAAAACUUUUGCCUGACAAAUGAAGAAGAGGACAAUGCCUGUAAUUUAGAUUUUGUAGUCUGCCAUCAAUUAAGUUGUAUGAGAAUCACUAGACCGAAGAGGGUAUUUGCGUGGGAAAGGUGAAUGAAAAUGCUCACCAUAGACUACAUACACUGAGAUUUUGCUAAUGAAGAAAAAGUGCAAAUACAGAGUUCCACUAUCUAAAACAAAAACAAAUUAAACUUCAUUCAUUGUGCCAUAGCCCUUAACAAGGGCAAUAAUAGGCGCUUAUGCAGGAUGAUAUAUUUUGUGAUUAUUGUAAAGAAUGACAUCCUUCUAUAAAAUGAAAUUAUGAAUUGUUUCAUGAAUGCUACAUCCCUGACACUUGCAGGACUGUGCCAUUUUUUUCCACUGAAACACUUAGGCAAUUACUCUUCAUGGAUAAGACAGAAACGUCUGGAUGUACAAUGGUUUCUGCAUUAACAAAGUUGCUAUGAUUUAGUCUGCUGUUUGCAUCUACUAACCUGCAGUGACCAGAAGCCAUUAUUUCCAUCGGACACAAUGGCAACCGGAAACAUUACCCUCACAAUGCUGAAGAAUGUAAAUGCAUUAUCUCAUGACCUCCAAGGAUGUGAACAGGUCUUGAGCUGCCUGGAGAACAUGCUGUGGCACCCAACAUGGCCACACAGGAGGUCUCUGCCUGCCUCUGCUGUCCCUGAUGCCGAAGGAGGACAGGCUGUGCCGGACAAUUAUGUGAUCGUGACAAAGCCAAGUGACUCCCAGGGAUCAUCCACAAUGAUGAUGAGAGCCGGUGGGGAACACCAUGGAGGAGAAUGAAACAAUUACGAGCGUCUUUUAAAGGAAACUGUGAGAGAGAGGACUCCAGACGCUGCAGUGUGACAGCUAAACCAAGGAGCAUCGGAUGCAAUGGAAUUGCUCUACAAGCAACCUUGCCAAAGGCCCUUUUGCUGCACAAAGCUGGCUCUAUCUUUGUAUAUUGAGGGAACUAAAUCAAUGUUAAAUGCUUGGCUCUUUUCACAGGACAAUGACCAGGACCUAAGCUGCGUCCUUCCUAUUUGAUUGACACUUGAAACGUUGAGUUGGAAUCAGCCAGAGGCACUGCUACAAGCUUGAAGCCUCUGCUGGGGAUAACAACUGGUGACAUCUGCAGAAAGGCCGACAAAAGGCAGUUGAAAGCCGUGUUUGUUGCUUUCCCCUCUCAGAUCUCCUCUCUUUCAUGGAGCUCCUUACUUGCUUUAAUAUUAUGAUUCAGCACCUGGCUCUUUUGAACCUUGCUUUAAACUUCAAAAGGCGAGGUGGUAUUAACAAACAUGAAACGAAAAAGUGGCAGUAGUUUGAUUUACUGUUGUCGUCUUAUCAAGGGGGUUUUUUGUCACCAGCUGCCACUUUCUGUCAUCUUUGGAACCAUUAUCAUUUCUCUAAAAUCUAAAAGACUCCACUUAAUAACAGCUUUGAAUACAGGCAGGAUCAGUAACGUAUACAGUUCUGGGAUGACAGGGCCGUCAAAUGAAAAGAAAGAUGUUGCCAAAAAAAAAAAAAAAAUCCUUAAAAAAAAAAAAGCAAUAAAACAAAUAAAAGCCAUAGUACUUCUAAGUGACCUUGAUUUCAGAAUUAAACAAAUCAAGCACAAUUCCAUUGUUCUUUCUGGAUUAAUUCUGCACUUUCUUUGCAGUGUUUCUUUUUUGUUCUCAGGACUAAGGGAAAACAAAGCCAAGGCUUUCAGAAAACUGCUCGGCACACAACAAGCACUCGGUAUCACAUGAGUGCUGUAAGCUUCUCACUGUAAAACCGCCAGCGAUAAUUACUGGUCUUGUUUCCCCACCAUCCCAGCACAGCAUCUCACAUUCAGGCUGAGCUGCCUUGCUAGUCAAAAAUAUGCUCAACUCUCCUCUUAUAGUGCUGCUCCAUGCUUUCCUGCAGACCUUCCCAACAUGGUUGUGUUGGUCUUUGGCUGCCAAGGCAGAACCAAGUGCCUGGUCAAGUUUGCCCAUUGCAGCUGCUCACAUUAAGCCACAGGCAGUCAAAUAAACACAAUUUUCUAAAGUGCAAACCUACUGCACUUUCACACUUGUCGCCUUGCCAUUCUUUACGGGAAACUCACUCUGAUCCCUUUGUUUUAUAAUGGUAUGCACAAUUAACUCAUCUGAAGGUAGAAAUUUCUCCCACUGCCUUCUAAACUCAUGGAUAAAUGAUGGACAAGCCAUCACAAGCAGUGACUCUUAAUUUGCGCAGAUUGGAACCUGCACUUCUGUGCAUCUUAAUAGUUACUUCCACUUGUGCAAAAAUAGUGAAACCAACUGCAAAAACCAAAGAAUCCCCUCCACUCUCCCCAUUGAUGUGUCCUCCCUCCCCUUAGUUAUGUGUAAAUCCAGGCAGUGGGAUCCAACACAUGGUCUCCCAUUGGCCUCUUUCAGACCUGUUCAACCACAGGAAUCUGGGGGAGAUUUAUGCCAGAACAUCUUCCUAAAACAGUGAUGGAAACAACAAAAUGAAAAUAUUCAUAGAAGUGAAAGUGCUGAUGUCUUGACCAGUGAAAACACAGGAUUGCAAGACUCCAAAGUUGGUUGAUUUUUUAUGGACUGGGAUGCGACAAAACUCAUGAAAUUGAGAUGGAGAUUGCUAAAAAUACCUAUUAUCCUCUGACAGAAGCACUCACUGUAUAACGAUAACGAGGGUUUUUCACAGAGCAUGUACAGAUUUGAAAGUUUAGUCAUUUUAACAAGUGUUAAUUACUGCAUGCUAACCAGCAGAAGUGUGUGGGGGAGAUGUUUUAUAUUUAUUUGUUCCAGACUUGGAACAUAUUAGAAAGUAGGCUCCCUUCCAGGUUACUGUGGUAUGAAUGAAUACGUUACCCAACUACAAAUGAAAAAUACUGCAAGAAGAAAUAAGGACUUUUCCCCAGCAUAUUUCUUUGAAGAGAAGACCGAGAAUAUGUUUAGUCUAUUACAUCAAGUGGAAAUCUUAGCCUGACCCUACUAAAAGUGCGUGUAGCACACAGAUACCAGAGCAGUGUGUCUGUGGGAGGUACUUUUAGGUUUAUCCAUGAAAAAAUGAGAUAUUCUGAAAGAAAGAACAUACAUGGGAAAUUAUCGGUGCAGUUGGAUCAGUCUCCCUGCAUGCUUUAGUAUGAUGCUGGAGAAGAGGAG